AGUUCGAUCCUGGCUCAGAUUGAACGCUGGCGGGAUGUGCUUUACACAUGCAAGUCGAACGGCAGCACGGACUUCGGUCUGGUGGCGAGUGGCGAACGGGUGAGUAAUGUAUCGGAACGUGCCUAGUAGCGGGGGAUAACUACGCGAAAGCGUAGCUAAUACCGCAUACGCUCUUCGGGGGAAAGCGGGGACCUUCGGGCCGGGCACGACAGGAGCGGCCGAUAUCGGGAUUAGCGAGCAGGGGUACUGGUCAUCAAGGCGAUGAUCCGUAGCUGGUUUAAGAGAGGGACGACCGAGCCACGACGGGGACUGAGACACGGCCCAAGACUCCUACGGAGGCAGCAGUGGGGGACCUUGGAUACGGAAACUCCUGAUCCAGCCAUCCCGCGUGUGCACGGAAGGCCUUCGGGUUGUAAGUUGUUCCUUAAGAGGAAGAACGGCACGGGAUAAUACCCCCGUGCAACUGACGGUACCUGCAGAAUAAGCACCGGCUAACUACGUGCCAGCAGCCGCGGUAAUACGUAGGGUGCAAGCGUUAAUCGGAAUUACUUCAAGUAAAAGCGUGCGCAGGCGGUCUGGCAAAGAUGUGAAAUCCCAGAGCUGACCUUUGGAACUGCAUUUUUAACUGUCAGAGCUAGAGUGUGUCAGAGGGAGGUGGAAUUCCGCGUGUAGCAGUGAAAUGCGUAGAUAUGCGGAGGAACACUGAUGGCGAAGGCAGCCCGAUAACACUGACGCUCAUGCACGAAAGCGUGGGAGCAAGCAAACA
rnacentral:misc_RNA from 1 species